GCCGGGAGGGACCUUAGUGGGGGCGGCGAAACCCAGUGGCCUAGGGCCUGUUUCACAUGAACGCUUUGGAAAGUAGCAACUUCUGCCCCACUCCGCCCAUCUUCUUUGUUCAGCAGUUCUAAAGGUCUUAAUGUAGCCGUGCGUGUGGCCGAAGGAGACGUUUGCAUUUGUAAUACCUUUAAAAAGAUCACAUGCUCAUGUAGUACUUGUGAGGUUAAAUAUAAAUAAAAUUUAAAGACUUGGCGGGGAAGAGGAGGGAAGGGAUAAAUUGGGAGUUCGAGAUUUGCAGAUACUACUAUAUUUAAAAUAAACGUCCCCUGCAGUCGGUUACCAGCGGGGAGCAAAGGCUGCGCAUUUUACUCACCUGACUCUUCAUCCCCAUGCCCCUGCCCCUCUCCAGAGCCCACGGUGCCCAGCGCAUGAUACAUUUCGGAUCACCCAAAUCUCUUCAGAAGGCUCUUAGCCACACUCUGGCUAUCACCAAGUCAAAGUGACAAGCGGCCACUUCUCUCUAGGGUCUUCCUGCCCAUAAGAAACUGAAAGCUCUGAAAAGGAGAAGGCUGGGGAUGAAGUAAAAGGAAUAAAGAAAAACAGAGAAUAAAGUAAGGCUGCAAAUGCUCCAAGGAAAGGUUAACGCCAUCUUCAAUGGGAGGCGAAGCAAUGAUCACAGAGUCCAGCUGUGCAACUCCGAGGACUGAACAGGCUGGUGUGAAGGGAGACACGGAAGAGGAUAGAUGUUUAUUAUUUAAUAAAAACAAGUUGUUUCUAAUGUCUUUCAAGUACCCCAACUGAAUUCUGUCCGUACAGUUCCCUAGUUUUCUAUAUAACAGAUGGUCUCAUUUGGUUUCAUAAUUUACCUGCUACUUAGAACAUUUCCAUCUUUUAAAAAAAGUGUAAGUGCACAUUUCUCUACUUGGUCUGUGUGGCAGACAAGUGGGCCUCUCUGGCCUGCCUCUUCCUGGGGAACUCACAACCCCUCCAGGCACUGCUUCCUGGGGAACAGCGCUCCUUGCUUCCUAGGCCCCAGGAUUUUUUGGUAGCUUCUGACCUAAUAUUCUGUCAUUGGUAAUCAUAGCAAAGAAUAAAUCUGAGAUACUGAAAAACUCAA